AACGAACGUUCGCGGCGCGCCUAACACAUGCAAGUCGAGCGAGAAAGGGCUUCGGCCCCGGUACAGCGGCGCACGGGUGAGUAACACGUAGGCAAUCUGCCCCUGAGUGGGGGAAACUGGGGCUAAUACCGCAUAUGUCCUGAGGGACAAAGCAGUGAUGCGCCUUUGGAGCAGCCUGCGUCCGAUUAGGUAGUCGGUGGGGUAAUGGCCUACCAAGGCGGCGAUCGGUAGCUGGUCUGAGAGGAUAAUCAGCCACACUGGGACUGAGACACGGCCCAGACUCCUACGGGAGGCAGCAGUGGGGAAUAUUGGACAAUGGGCGCAAGCCUGAUCCAGCCAUGCCGCGUGGGUGAUGAAGGCCCUAGGGUUGUAAAGCCCUUUCGGCGGGGAAGAUAAUGACGGUACCCGCAGAAGAAGCCCCGGCUAACUUCGUGCCAGCAGCCGCCGUAAAAC
rnacentral:rRNA from 1 species